rnacentral:misc_RNA from 1 species
UAUCUCUCCUAAUUCAACAUUUGUUGGAAUAGGGACUUGGGGUCUUCUCGUCAGCAAUAAUAACUCUGUUAUUAUUACUGGUGAACCCUUUAAAUAUAGCAAGCUCCCAUCUUUUAUCGGAAAUACGCAAACUUGGGGAUGGCGUCGUAGCAAUCACUCUUAUCAGUAUUGUCGAAGCGCCUAUAUCAUACCUCUAAUCUGCGGUGCUAAUCCUUUUUCAGUGGGCGAAGCUUGGCGACUGGCAAAGUGCCAUGCUCCCUUAUUUGGAGUACACGAACAA